GACUCUGUAGCUCAGUUGGCGGUAGCAUCGGACUUUUAAUCCGAGGGUCGUGGGUUCGACUCCCACCAGGGUCA
rnacentral:tRNA from 1 species